ensembl:lncRNA
UUUUUUGGGAAUUUUUUCUCCUCUGUGGCGUAGAAAACCCCCCAAAACAACUCUUAAAGUUUGCUACUGUGAUUUUGAUUAAAUUUCUUGCUUGAUGAAACACUAAAUUGAUUUCCUCUCCUGUAAAAAAAAAAUACUAAAGAGAGUUUAGAAAAGAAAUCAGAUCUUGGAAAAGUUCAAUCAUUUUUCUGCUUUUCUCAGUUGGAAAGAGAAAAGUUGAAAAUGAUAUUCAGAGAGGGACUUGGAAACAUACUGAAGAAUCUUUCUUUAAAUUGACAAAAUAGGGGCAUUACUAGAACUUUAAAAAUUGUAUACAUUUAAAAAGUGAGUUCCUUAUAUAUCAACUUUAUUUAUUCGGUUUAAUUAAGGAAAGGAUUAUGAAUGCUUUCUGUCCUCAGCCAUAGCCUUUACUUUUGCUGUACCUUUUGGCUCUGCCUCUUUGACGUAGUGGGUAUAUGCCCUGAAAUGUUAACAUCCAAGAAAAUUUUAUUUUCUCAGAACUUCCAUUAAAAUUUAAAAAUUAUGUCAUCCUAACAAGGUUACAUUUCAGGUGUAAUAAAAUGAUAUCAAGUAAAUGUAAGACAAGAGGCGUGUCAGAUAAGUCUGUGGUAUGCUUGCGUGAGCCACCACCGAGAAAACCCUGCAAGGAUACACACCAGAGUGACAAGAGCCCUGUCACUGCCUAGCGGAGUAGGAGGUGAUUUGUUUUUGCUUCUUUGUGACUUUCAGAAUCGCCCUCUCUCCAGCAGUGAGCACAUGUACAUUUCCUACCCAGAGAGGACGGGAUUCAUUUUGAAAACGAAAACUGGAAAGAGAUUUAUGUGUUUACUAAAUUUGCACAGAGGACUUGCUCUAAGCAAGCAGCAGCCUGGUUUCGGUGCCGCGAGAGCGGGGGUGGAGCGGCUGUGGAAGCCUCUUCGUGGUGCCGUGUGCCGUGCAGAGGGGGAGGGGGGGGCGCACCGGGUGCACUCGGUCAGGUAGAGGGAGGAGCGGGACCAGCACUGGCGGGCACCGUGCAGGAAGGGGAAGGGGUCAGGUGCCCAGGAAAGCGGCUCUGAGGAGCUGCGGGCCCCUGCGUCCCUGUCUCCUGGGUCCAGUCCAGUGGGGGGAGGUGACGCUGGCUCGGCCUCCGGUUGCUGCAUCUGCAUCGCUGCCCUGCACCUGGCCGGGACAGGGGGCGCCCUCGAUCCCCUGCCUAAGGCAGAGCGGGGAAGCCACUGUCUCUCCUGCGAGGAUUGGGCUGCUGGGGGCUCCUCUGGGUGCAGGGCACUGUGAUGUGUGAGCCCCUGGCCGGAAUCAGGCCCUGGAUGUUACUCACACUGGGAGGCUUUCUCGAGCGUCGGGAAGGGCGGAGAAUUCAGACCCAUUUUAGCUACUGUGCAGGACCCUGGGAAUGUUCGGGCUGCUGCUUGCUGGACACACGGGGCUCGCUGAUGAAAAUUCUGUGUUCAGGGAGAAAUUUCCUAUGGGCGGAGUGAGGGGCGUGAGGUGCUUGACAAGUAGCCUGAUUCAGGUGGAGCAAGUUUGAGACAGCGCUGCUGGUGAUGAGGAGGAGACGUGUGUCUGUGCGUGUGUGCGUGUGCGUGUGUGUGUGUGGGGCGUGGAGUACCAGGGAGACAGACACCAUGAAUUGUCCCUUCCUGUCUUUAUGACACAAGGUCAGAGGCUGCCUCUAAACCAAGACAGCGAGCCUUUUACAGCUUUUAAUGACACGGCAUGGCCGGCUAUGGCUCGCGAGCCUGGGUGCCCACCAGGGAGCUGGGGCCACAUCAGCACUGCGGGUAACGGGCCUCAGGCCUGCCAGUCAGUCGGGGUGAGACAGCUGGGCGAGUCUCAUUUGUGUGGUUACCAGCCGAGCGCACUGAUAGCCAUUAUUUCUUUGGGGCCAAGGUCAUGAAAUAGUUAAUAUUAUUCACACCUGUCACAGAUGUAGAAACUUAACUAGCAGAGAAGUGUACUGUCUUGCUGGAAGUCAGGUCUUUGAGAAGGCAAUGAAGGGUUCGAUUCCGGAACUUUCAGGCAAUGAACGUGCGCAGUCUCCACGUGGAGUGGUUCUCAAACCAGGGGACGAACGGAAGGGUGCCCGGCAGUCCCUGGACCCCGUGAUGCAUGCUCAAGUGGUGCCACAGGCUGCCAGCAGUCAGAGCUGUGCUUUCGUCCUCACUGGAAACAGGCUUCUCUGAAUAUGUGCAAAGAUGAGAGACUUCAGGAGGCUUUGAAGAGCUUGGAGUCACCGUUAGCACAAAGAGAUGGGCAAUUGCGGCUGGCUGGGUGGUACAGGCUGGAACCCUACCACUGGGGAAGCUGAGGCAGGAGGGCUGCAUGCUGAAGGUCAGCCCAGGCUAUAUUCUAAGAUGGAGGCAGCCUGAAGUACAGAGACCCCGUCCUCCCAAAAAAGAUGAUCAAAUGAGGCAUGGUCUUUAAUUAAAAAGUUUGCUGUAAUAGCAUAUUUAAAAUAUAAUAUGCUAUCAUUAUGAUGCGUGAGUAUAAAAUGAUUGGUACUGUAGGCUCACAAAAGUGGUGUAAGUGAUACUGAAGGCGAUAUGUGGCUUGUUCAAGUAAUUGCUUUGAAGGAUGUGGACAUUUACAUGUAUAAAUGCUGGUGUGAUAUUCAAAAUGGUUCUGUUCUUUUUUUCCAAGUUUUGUUUUUAUUAGUACAAGUUGCAGUGCAUCAGUGAUUACACUCAUUGUAGGGAGUUGGUGGAUGCACGUAACACAUCUUAGUGCUGUUUGCUUUCCCUUCUCCCUUCCCUCCUCUCUGGGUCCUCUUCCCAUUUGAGGAAGUUCUGCCUCCCUGCUUCCUAUUAUCUCUCUCCUACUUUGCUCUUUAUUUGUCCUUUGGGUUUCUCAUGUUGGAGAAACCAGGCAGGAUUUAAGCCUGUGCUUCUGACUUAUUUCACUUCACACUAUGGUCUCAAGGUGCAUCCAUUUCCCUACAAAAGACUCGUUUGUCACGCUUAUGGCAGAGUAGUGCUCUGCCGUGUGUAAAGACCACAUUUUCUUAUCUACUGUUCUGUUGAUGGAUGUAGGCAUUUCUCCUUUCAAAGACAGACGCUGUAUCUAUCAGUUAUAAAGGCAUUCUGAAAUUAAAGCAUGCCAUUUAGAGUGUCCGUGUUUAGACCAUUAAGUUACCUUUGUACUGUAUUGGAAGAACAACUACAGUGCCAUCUUUGCCAUACACGUGUGCCUCUCACUGCUACUCCUAGGCAAGGACAAUCGGGCUAGAGGAUGAAGGGCCGCAGUUCCCCCUGUUGAGAUACAAAUGGUGAAGGGGGAUCUGCUCCAGCUGAGCCCAGCCUGGUCACGUGUGCGUGCGUGCCUGCAGGAGGGACAGCCGGCAGCGCCCCUGGGAGUCAGCGCUGUGGCUGGGCAGGGCUCUCGAUGCGGGAGGGCCCGGCUGCUGUCCAGUGUCUGCCUUGGUCAAGGCUCUGCCCGCGACACCACGUUGUCACCCGCUAGACACCCACUCCCGGACUGCUUAAGCUCCGUGCCCAGACCUUUACUGGGCAGAGGCACAGGGCCUUUCUCCUGCGACCGCCGUCAGAGUCCACUUCCUCUUUCUCCCCCUGCUGUCCACCCUGUCAGGCCUGAAGCCGCCCAUCGGGAGCGCACGCGCCUGCCCAGCCUGGGUUUGAGCCAGGGUUCUAGUGCUUUCCAGAUUUCUUGCACUUCCUAGUGCAAAUGCGUUUCUGGGUCUUCUUCAUGCUUUCUCUCCCCCUCUUUUCUGCUUCCCUCCCUUCUUUUUGGAGGCAGGAUUUCACUCUGGAGACCAGGCUGGCCUUGAACUCUCCAUCUUCCACCCCUGCCUCCCGGUGCUGGGAUGAGGUGCGGGAAACCCAGGAAGACCCGGCCAUGAGGACGCGCUCCCCACCCGGCCCGACCCGGAGCCCGCGCUCUCCAGCUUCGCCGCCUCCUCGCGCGGCGGCGGCGCAACGCCCUGCCCGACAUCCUGGGCGCGGACGCCAGCGCCUGCGAGGAGCUGCCGCCGCCGCGGAGCCUCUCGGUGAAGGAAGAUGUGCAACAGAAGAGCGAAGCAGCAGCACGAGACCGGUUGGGAAAUCCCAGAGAGGAAGAGAAAUGAAGCCGCCUCGUUUGUCAGAGGCGCACUCAGGCGCGUGGAGAGGCGGAGGGGCUGUGUUUCCCAUGAUGUGUGGCGUGGCGGUAACCAUGGAAACGUGCGUGACUCCCGUGACUCGCCGUGACUGUUCACUUGGACCGCAAGUAUGAUGUCGAAAGUAGGCCAUUAAAAGGCAAAGUACGCCCCACUGCAUCCAAGAAAAAUGUUAAGAAUGCAGGAUCACUAAUACAUAGUAUUGUCUGUAAGCCCCGCAAAAUCUGCUGUUCUCUUUUGGAUUUAUUUAGCCAGCUGUGUGUUUAAUUCCACUUUUAGGGUGAUUUUUGUGUUUCUUGUCAAGUAUACAUUCAUUUAAACUUUGUAGAAUUUGUAGGAAAUAUAUUUUUGAUGAAAAGGAGGAAUAAUAAUAGAAUAGUCAGAAUUACAUGGGUACAGUGUCUUUAUUUUUAAUCAGUAUUGCGCCAGAGUUUUUCCAAACCACAAAAAAGAUUUUAAAAUAUUGUAAAAGUUUAACAACAUAAACAUCUCUGGGAUAUUUUUGUCUGAUAUAUUUUGCUUCUAAUCUGUGUAUACUGUGAUUUUUGAUGUGGACCCUUGGAAUGUAACCUUUGUGACAAACUAUUUCUGUGGAACAUGCCUUUCAAACGGAUUUCACGACCUCCCUUCACUGUGUGUGCGCAUGUGUCUUAUUGUAAUGUGAAAUAUACAAAACAAUUUUUAAUUGCUUCACAUUGCUUUUUCUCAUGUUUUGUAUAUGUACGAGGUAUAUCUAAAGUGAUAUCCUCAGGAAUACAUACCUUAAUUUUUAUAUCUUUCCUAGAGUAGCUAACAUAGCAGUAAACACUUUAAAAUUUGGUCAAUAAUGUAGGCCCAAGGAGAAAAAUACACACUUUUAAUAUAUGUUUAAGUAUAUAUUUUGAAAGGAACAAAAAUAAACCAAGGCUUUAGAGAAUUUGGGUUUAUUAGAAAUUUUAGAAAAAUACUAGAAUUCUGAAUUUUAAAAAAUUUGAAUAAUUAAUGUAUUUUCACUUUCACACAUAUGUGCAUGUGGUUUUAAAAAAUUUGAUUGUUGGCUUAGGCCACAUCUGUAUACACUGACCAAAUAAACUCUUUCACUAGAGAAAUUGUUUACUGUUACAGAUCUUCAUUUUAUCUUCUGAAGUAUGCCAGGUGAAAAACGGUGACCGUUUUAAAAGGAUGGCAUUAAUAGUCUGCAAUCUAAAUCACCUCCGGCUCAUUAUUUUAUUGACAAAGACUCCCCUUAUAUCUUAUACAUCCCAGAGG